AUGAAGGAGAUUUAAAAAAGGGGGUGACGAUCAACUGCUGUGCUGUGAGUGCUCUCCUUUCUCCAGUCUAGACAUCACAUCACAACCCAAAGCCGGCUAGUUUUCUGCCUCGUAUUUUGUUUGGGCCAAAAUGUCGACCACAACCGGCGGUGGGGAGUUCGGCAACCCUCUACGGAAGUUUAAGCUCGUCUUCCUGGGCGAGCAGAGCGUGGGAAAGACCUCGCUCAUCACCAGAUUCAUGUAUGACAGCUUUGACAACACCUAUCAGGCAACAAUUGGCAUUGACUUUUUGUCAAAAACCAUGUACCUCGAAGAUCGUACGAUUCGGCUGCAGCUCUGGGACACGGCGGGUCAAGAGCGUUUCCGCAGCCUCAUCCCGAGUUACAUCCGAGACUCAGCCGCCGCUGUUGUGGUUUAUGACAUAGCCAAUCUCAACUCCUUCCAACAAACCUCAAAGUGGAUCGAUGAUGUCCGGACGGAGAGAGGAAGUGAUGUCAUUAUCAUGCUCGUUGGGAACAAAACAGACCUGGCGGACAAAAGGCAAGUCUCUGUUGAGGCGGCAGAGAGGAAAGCUCGAGAGCUCAAUGUGAUGUACAUAGAGACCAGCGCCAAGGCUGGCUAUAACGUCAAACAGACAGAUCACCACGGAGGAGGGCGAGCACAGAGCUAAGGAACUGAAUGUCAUGUUCAUUGAAACCAGCGCAAAGACUGGCUACAAUGUCAAACAGCUGUUCCGUCGCGUUGCGGCCGCGUUACCUGGAAUGGAUAGCACAGCGGAGAAAAGCAAAGAAGACAUGAUCGACAUCAAACUGGAGAAGCAGCCAGAGAUGACUGUCACCGAGAGCAGCUGCUCGUGCUAGUACAUGACUCUCGAACCCAGCCCAACAAGCCUGUCUCACCCCGACCUUCCCCCCACCACCACCACCACCAACAACAGUUUGUCUCUCAGUCUCUCACCCGGGGAACAAACACUGGAGAGUUAGCGCGUGGAUGUGCGUUACUGAAGCCAAACAGAGAGUCCACGUUGAAAUCCAAGGGAUGCGUGAGCCCAUAGGCGUUUUCAGUUUGAUGACUUGCAUGGCAUUUAACGUAUAUACAUAGAAGUGCAGACUGACUUAGCUAACCGCUUUUUGGGCUAUUGCACAAACUCAUAAUUUCCGUGCUGUGAGGGUUUUUUUGUUUUUGUUUUGUUUUGUUUUUGUCAUUGUUGUCACGUAAAACGACGCGAUGGAUUGUUUAGGUGACUCCACAAGUUUUUUUGUUUUGUUUUUUUAGAAGUUAUAAGAUGGCUGCUUAUUUCUUAACUUCUAUGUUGUAUUUUAAGGAAGUAGAGACAGGAUCUUACGAAUUGUCACAAACUUCACACUUCAGGUUUUUGCAGCAUAUUAACACAACGCAGCAGGAGGCGUCAUUAAUGUGUGUGAUGAGGCUGCAAUAUGGAAAGCCAUUUGUCAUUUAUUCUGUAUCCUUGCUAUUCGGGGUUUGGUCCAUGUACCAGUACACUCUUCAAUAUCACUAUGAAGAAAAUUUAGUGCACUAAUAGAAUGACUGUUUUACUAAUGUUGUUUUUUUUUCCACUAGUACUGUCACGUUUGGCCUAUUUGGGAACAAUGAAAAUUUUUCGUAAUCUACUGAGCUACUUUAUUAAUAUUACUCUGAACAGCUAGUAACCAUGUGUCACACACCAGUAUCCUCAUUAUGAAAGAUAACAAAUAAAUGCUCAAUUGGUUUUCCACAACAACAACAAAAGAAAUUCCUGUAUACUAGUGCCACUUUUGGCCAACUAGUAUGCAGCUUCACCUUACUAGUGAUGCACUAAGUAAGGACUCAAAAGUCAUUAAUACUAGUAGUCAACUAGUGCACCGUUUUGCCUCACUAGUAACAUAUUUGUCCUACUAGUUUGCCUAAUUUUGUUUGACUAGUGAGGAUAGAGCAUACUAGUACAGAUUGAAUAAAAACUUGAGAAGCUUUCCAUGAAGUCAUCAGAACAUUUAUUCAACAUCUAAACCUUAAGAAAACGACUGGUGCAUGACAUAACAGUUUGGCCCAGUAAGGCAGCAUAGUGCUUUACUAGUAUGUUUUAAUUACAUAUUAGGAAUCCAAAAGUGGCAGUAGUUGUGGGAAAAAAUAGACAAUCGUUUUACUAGUGCAGUGAAAUGUUUUACUAGUGAGAACAAAGAACUUGAGAUGGAAAUCAAGGAAAUGCAAGAAAUGUUCGAACAGAAAGAUGGUCUUCUGAUCUGAAAAAUGAAUUGACAAACUUGGGAUUUUAUUUUCCAAGCCCUGAGUGAGCAAUGCACUCCCAAACCACAAUGCCCCCCCUCCACCACACUGCACUGUGUACGUGUGCAUCACGCGAGACCCGAUUCCAAGCGGUUUCUUCGAUGUAAAGCCAACCCGCGUAACCCCAAACUGUCCUCAUAACACCCAUGAAGCAUUAGAAUGCUAAUUUCACCGUACUAACAAGGACGUGAGGUCGAGUUACUCACGAGAUAACAUUUUCUAACACUCCUGCCAUGCCAUUGAUGCUCCGUGUUGUGUUGAUCACACAUAUCACAGCGCAUGCUCGCCAUGCAGGAUUUUUACGGGCGACGACACAGAUGCCUUGCUUGUUUUGUUCACCAACGUUGUGCACUGAAUCAAGCCACAAAUAUUGUAAAAUAGAUGAAAAGGGAAGCCGGCUGGCUGGUUAGUGGCUCGUUGUUGUUUUCUGGAGCCGGUCGACGAGAGCAUGUCCUCCUAAAUAAAAACUUACUAACACUCCCGCUGUAAAAAUGGCCACCUUAGUCGCAGUAUCAUUCGCUCUAUUGCAAGUAUUGCUUGUGUAGGACCGUUGUUUUUAUGUGAUUAUUUAUUCAGAAACUCGGACGUACACCUGAAAAUUGUUAGCUUGACCAAAAAGUGCAAAUGCUGAGGCGCAUGUCAAAAAGAUGUUUUAUUUAUUUGCGUGUCUGCCGGGAACCCUCUCGCUCUCUCCAAGGCAUUGUUGUACAACUAGAAAGGACUUCUUGCGCUAUGUUGUCAUGGUAACACUGUUUACAGUCAAGGCCGUAAAGGCUACACACACAAACACACAGAGCGAACCACAAACCAAUUCUUUAGCCAUAGUGUAAAUGAACACCUCGGUCCUUCUUGGCUGUCACUGGUUUUGAAAAUAUGUGUCGACAUUUUAAGAAGAAAAAAAAAAAGAUUUAGAGCUCUUCUAUUACUUGCCACAACUUAAUACUCAGCUUUGUGCUCUUCGGAAUCGUGUCUGUCCACUUGAACUAUGCUGUCUACUCGUGUUUAGCAACGUUGUGUGAAUACUAUUACUAUCUGAUGUGUAAAAAGGAAAGUUAAAGGCACACAAGUGUAGGCCUAUCUCAUGGAAUACAAUAAAGAUUAUUUCACCAAA